GGAAAUUCCACCAGUUGGCUCACUGACUUCUCACAGUUCCUUUCUGCUGGGUUAUCAAGCAGGUGAGCGAUGACAGUCAUUCCCUCUUCCAAGGAAUCCCAGACCCCUCCAGCAACUGAUGACUCAUUCUUUAACAAAAGCCCAGCCGCUGCGAUUCAGACAGCCAUCUUACAGGCUCAGAGCUGCAACAAGACAAAUUCAAAGCAUCUCACUGCAGUUCAGAAAUCACUUGACCUAAAAGCAGACAGAAAGCGGAUUGGCUGUAGCUUCCUCUCUCCAAAUAUGAGGUAAAGAAAAUUUUUCUUCUUACAAGAAUGAUGAUUAAUUUGUGUCCACAGCUGGUAAGUGGCAAAGUCUGAACAUGAACUCCUGAAGAAGACUUUUCAUUACACCAUUGUUACUCCUAACUGAAGCAGGGAUAAAUGUCAGCACACUGUCGAACAGGAUGGUUCUUCACUGUGGGUGCUCAGGGCUCACUCCUGCCUCAGUACUCAGAAAAUACUCCUAGAGGGCCUGGGGGACCAUAUGGGAGGCUGGGGAUCAAACCCGGGUCAAUCACAUGCAAGGCAAACGCCCAACCCCCUCUAUUACUGCUCUGGCUCCAGAUCCCUGCUGUUCUGGAUUCACAACUAUACUCACAGGGACCAAGGGCUGGAACAAAGAGGUAGUGAAACUUAUUAUUUGGAAAUAAAAGAAGA